AGAGUUUGAUCCUGGCUCAGGACGAACGCUGGCGGCGUGCCUAACACAUGCAAGUCGAACGGAGAAUUCAAUAAGUCUACUUAAAGAAUUCUUAGUGGCGGACGGGUGAGUAACGCGUGGGUAACCUACCCAUAAAGCCGGGACAACCCUUGGAAACGAGGGCUAAUACCGGAUAAUCUUAAGAGUUGGCAUCAGCUUUUAAGGAAAGGUGGCCUCUGUAUAUGCUACCGAUUAUGGAUGGACCCGCGUCUGAUUAGCUAGUUGGUGGGGUAAAGGCCUACCAAGGCGACGAUCAGUAGCCGGCCUGAGAGGGUGAACGGCCACACUGGGACUGAGACACGGCCCAGACUCCUACGGGGGGCAGCAGUGGGGAAUCUUCCGCAAUGGACGAAAGUCUGACGGAGCAACGCCGCGUGUAUGAUGAAGGUCUUCGG
rnacentral:rRNA from 1 species